UUUUAAUUACAGUGAAGCCAUUCCUGCUGUUCUGUUUCCCCUACAAGCUGCAGUCCUUGCAGUUUAGGGACUGCUGUCCCCAGAGUACAAGGGAGUUCCUUCCCUGUGUCUGAGGAAAAUGGUCCCCCUGGAAGUCAGGGAGAUGACCUGGGAUGUAGCAGCUGCAGAAUGGAUCAGUAUUUAAAUUGGUUGCAUUGUGUGAGCAGUGAGUGCAAAGAAUGGAAGACUUUUGAGCUUUGAGUGAUCCCGUGUGAACGCUCAUCAGUUGCUGCUGCCGCUUUGCUGACAGAAGAGUUGCAGUAUGCAGAAUGGGAGAGUCAGCAAUGCCUGGACCUUGAUUAUGAGAAGACCUCCCCCUGCUACUUAAAGCCUCCCUUCCAAACACUGGAGGGGAGGGGAAACACAUGGUGGAGCUGAUAUAUUAAUACUCAUACAAUAGCACCAAUUGCCUGCAGGAAUAAAAAAGACCAAAACCCUAAACCUGAACA
rnacentral:lncRNA from 1 species